CCUACGGGAUGCAGCAGUGGGGAAUAUUGCACAAUGGGCGCAAGCCUGAUGCAGCCAUGCCGCGUGUAUGAAGAAGGCCUUAGGGUUGUAAAGUACUUUCAGUUGGGAGGAAGGCGUUGAUGCUAAUAUCAUCAACGAUUGACGUUACCAACAGAAGAAGCACCGGCUAACUCCGUGCCAGCAGCCGCGGUAAUACGGAGGGUGCAAGCGUUAAUCGGAAUUACUGGGCGUAAAGCGCACGCAGGCGGUUGAUUAAGUUAGAUGUGAAAUCCCCGGGCUUAACCUGGGAAUGGCAUCUAAGACUGGUCAGCUAGAGUUUUGUAGAGGGGGGUAGAAUUUCAUGUGUAGCGGUGAAAUGCGUAGAGAUGUGGAGGAAUACCGGCGGCGAAGGCGGCCCCCUGGACAAAGACUGACGCUCAUGUGCGAAAGCGUGGGGGGCAAACAGGAUUAGAUACCCCGGUAGUC
rnacentral:rRNA from 1 species